rnacentral:rRNA from 1 species
GAUGAACGCUGGCGGCGUGCCUAAUACAUGCAAGUCGAGCGGCAGCACGGUCUUCGGACUGGUGGCGAGCGGCGGACGGCUGAGUAACGCGUAGGAACAUGCCCUAAAGUGAGGAAUAACUGCCCGAAAGGGAGGCUAAUGCCGCAUGUGCUCUUCGGAGUAAAGCUUUAUGCGCUUUAGGAGUGGCCUGCGUCCGAUUAGCUAGUUGGUGAGGUAACUGCUCACCAAGGCGACGAUCGGUAGCUGGUCUGAGAGGAUGAUCAGCCAGACUGGAACUGAGAACGGUCCAGACUCCUACGGGAGGCAGCAGUAGGGAAUUUUCCACAAUGGGCGAGAGCCUGAUGGAGCAACGCCGCGUGCAGGAUGAAUGCCUUCGGGUUGUAAACUGCUUUUAUGUGCGAAGAAUUUGACUGUAACACAUGAAUAAGGAUCGGCUAACUACGUGCCAGCAGCCGCGGUAA